GAGGACCUCUGGCGGCGCGCCUAACACAUGCAAGUCGAACGAGCGAGAGAGAGCUUGCUUUCUCGAGCGAGUGGCGAACGGGUGAGUAACGCGUGAGGAACCUGCCUCAAAGAGGGGGACAACAGUUGGAAACGACUGCUAAUACCGCAUAAGCCCACGGGUCGGCAUCGACCAGAGGGAAAAGGAGCAAUCCGCUUUGAGAUGGCCUCGCGUCCGAUUAGCUAGUUGGUGAGGUAACGGCCCACCAAGGCAACGAUCGGUAGCCGGACUGAGAGGUUGAACGGCCACAUUGGGACUGAGACACGGCCCAGACUCCUACGGGAGGCAGCAGUGGGGAAUAUUGCACAAUGGGGGAAACCCUGAUGCAGCGACGCCGCGUGGAGGAAGAAGGUCUUCGGAUUGUAAACUCCUGUUGUUGGGGAAGAUAAUGACGGUACCCAACAAGGAAGUGACGGCUAACUACGUGCCAGCAGCCGCGGUAAAACGUAGGUCACAAGCGUUGUCCGGAAUUACUGGGUGUAAAGGGAGCGCAGGCGGGAAGACAAGUUGGAAGUGAAAUCUAUGGGCUCAACCCAUAAACUGCUUUCAAAACUGUUUUUCUUGAGUAGUGCAGAGGUAGGCGGAAUUCCCGGUGUAGCGGUGGAAUGCGUAGAUAUCGGGAGGAACACCAGUGGCGAAGGCGGCCUACUGGGCACCAACUGACGCUGAGGCUCGAAAGUGUGGAUAGCAAACAGGAUUAGAUACCCUGGUAGUCCACACCGUAAACGAUGAUUACUAGGUGUUGGAGGAUUGACCCCUUCAGUGCCGCAGUUAACGCAAUAAGUAAUCCACCUGGGGAGUACGACCGCAAGGUUGAAACUCAAAGGAAUUGACGGGGGCCCGCACAAGCAGUGGAGUAUGUGGUUUAAUUCGACGCAACGCGAAGAACCUUACCAAGUCUUGACAUCCCUUGACAGGCAUAGAAAUAUGUUUUCUCUUCGGAGCAAGGAGACAGGUGGUGCAUGGUUGUCGUCAGCUCGUGUCGUGAGAUGUUGGGUUAAGUCCCGCAACGAGCGCAACCCUUAUGGUCAGUUACUACGCAAGAGGACUCUGGCCAGACUGCCGUUGACAAAACGGAGGAAGGUGGGGAUGACGUCAAAUCAUCAUGCCCUUUAUGACUUGGGCUACACACGUACUACAAUGGCGUUAAACAAAGAGAAGCAAGACCGCGAGGUGGAGCAAAACUCAGAAACAACGUCCCAGUUCGGACUGCAGGCUGCAACUCGCCUGCACGAAGUCGGAAUUGCUAGUAAUCGUGGAUCAGCAUGCCACGGUGAAUACGUUCCCGGGCCUUGCACU
rnacentral:rRNA from 1 species